rnacentral:rRNA from 1 species
UACGAAGGGGGCUAGCGUUGUUCGGAAUUACUGGGCGUAAAGGGCGCGUAGGCAGUGUGUCAAGUCAGGCGUGAAAGCCCCGGGCUCAACCUGGGAAUUGCAUUUGAGACUGAAUAGCUAGGGUGCGGAAGAGGGAAGCGGAAUUUCCGGUGUAGCGGUGAAAUGACGUAGAUAUCGGAAGGAACACCAGUGGCGAAAGCGGCUUCCUGGUCCAGCACCGACGUUCAGGCACGAAAGCGUGGGGAGCAAACAGGG